GAACGCUGGCGGCGUGCUUAACACAUGCAAGUCGAACGAUGAUGCCCAGCUUGCUGGGCGGAUUAGUGGCGAACGGGUGAGUAAUACGUGAGUAACCUGCCCUUGACUCUGGGAUAAGCCUGGGAAACUGGGUCUAAUACUGGAUACUACCUCUUACCGCAUGGUGGGUGGUGGAAAGGGUUUUACUGGUUUUGGAUGGGCUCACGGCCUAUCAGCUUGUUGGUGGGGUAAUGGCUCACCAAGGCGACGACGGGUAGCCGGCCUGAGAGGGUGACCGGCCACACUGGGACUGAGACACGGCCCAGACUCCUACGGGAGGCAGCAGUGGGGAAUAUUGCACAAUGGGCGGAAGCCUGAUGCAGCGACGCCGCGUGAGGGAUGACGGCCUUCGGGUUGUAAACCUCUUUCAGUAGGGAAGAAGCGAGAGUGACGGUACCUGCAGAAGAAGCGCCGGCUAACUACGUGCCAGCAGCCGCGGUAAUACGUAGGGCGCAAGCGUUGUCCGGAAUUAUUGGGCGUAAAGAGCUCGUAGGCGGUUUGUCGCGUCUGCUGUGAAAGCCCGGGGCUCAACCCCGGGUCUGCAGUGGGUACGGGCAGACUAGAGUGCAGUAGGGGAGACUGGAAUUCCUGGUGUAGCGGUGAAAUGCGCAGAUAUCAGGAGGAACACCGAUGGCGAAGGCAGGUCUCUGGGCUGUUACUGACGCUGAGGAGCGAAAGCAUGGGGAGCGAACAGGAUUAGAUACCCUGGUAGUCCAUGCCGUAAACGUUGGGCACUAGGUGUGGGGGACAUUCCACGUUUUCCGCGCCGUAGCUAACGCAUUAAGUGCCCCGCCUGGGGAGUACGGCCGCAAGGCUAAAACUCAAAGGAAUUGACGGGGGCCCGCACAAGCGGCGGAGCAUGCGGAUUAAUUCGAUGCAACGCGAAGAACCUUACCAAGGCUUGACAUUCACCGGACCGCCCCAGAGAUGGGGUUUCCCUUCGGGGCUGGUGGACAGGUGGUGCAUGGUUGUCGUCAGCUCGUGUCGUGAGAUGUUGGGUUAAGUCCCGCAACGAGCGCAACCCUCGUUCUAUGUUGCCAGCACGUGAUGGUGGGGACUCAUAGGAGACUGCCGGGGUCAACUCGGAGGAAGGUGGGGAUGACGUCAAAUCAUCAUGCCCCUUAUGUCUUGGGCUUCACGCAUGCUACAAUGGCCGGUACAAAGGGUUGCGAUACUGUGAGGUGGAGCUAAUCCCAAAAAGCCGGUCUCAGUUCGGAUUGAGGUCUGCAACUCGACCUCAUGAAGUCGGAGUCGCUAGUAAUCGCAGAUCAGCAACGCUGCGGUGAAUACGUUCCCGGGCCUUGUACACACCGCCCGUCAAGUCACGAAAGUUGGUAACACCCGAAGCCGGUGGCCUAACCCCUUGUGGGAGGGAGCCGUCGAAGGUGGGACUGGCGAUUGGGACUAA
rnacentral:rRNA from 1 species